rnacentral:rRNA from 1 species
AACCUUUACACUGCACGACAGUGCGAUAAGGGAAUCCCAAGUGCGUAGGCAUAGAGCCUACGCUUUUGUCCACCGUAGGGAGGUGGACGAAUAAGGGCUGGGCAAGACCGGUGCCAGCCGCCGCGGUAAUACCGGCAGCCCGAGUGAUGGCCGAUCUUAUUGGGCCUAAAGCGUCCGUAGCUGGCCGCGCAAGUCUAUCGGAAAAUCCACCCGCUCAACGGGUGGGCGUCCGGUAGAAACUGCGUGGCUUGGGACCGGAAGGCUCGACGGGUACGUCCGGGGUAGGAGUGAAAUCCCGUAAUCCUGGACGGACCGCCGAUGGCGAAAGCACUUCGCGAAAACGGAUCCGACAGUGAGGGACGAAAGCUAGGGUCUCGAACCGGAUUAGAUACCCGGGUAGUCCUAGCCGUAAACAAUGCCUGCUAGGUGUGGCUCCCACUACGAGUGGGUGCUGUGCCGUAGGGAAGCCGCUAAGCAGGCCGCCUGGGAAGUACGUCCGCAAGGAUGAAACUUAA